CAGAGGAGGUGAAGUCCAAAUGUCGGAGGAUUACACAUGCAGAUCUAUACCAGAUAGAAGGUAACAGAGGAGGCGUCUAGAGAAGCUCUCUGCUGCCUUGGAAUUCAACAUCUGCUAUGGCUUCAGAUCCUCUGGAAAAUGUGGUGUAGAAUUCUCAGAAGCCUGAUUAAAAUCUUGUACAAACUGCAGGGUAUGUAAUAGGAUAUAGAAUACAGUCAAAAAGAAUGACCGUUUGAUGAAGAAAUCUUGUAAUACAUUUGGUUGGACACAGGUCAGCUUCAGUAAUGCACUGUUUAUACAGAAUUCUACAAAUGGAGUUUGAGGUGUAUGUUUUAUUAUGGAUGCCGGCCAUAAUUUUUCCUUUAUCUUUGUCAAACACAGAUUGUCUCAUCAUAGUAAAAUUUUACUUAUGGUCAA